AAGCUCAGAAAAUAAAAUAAAGACUCCCCGCCGCCCAGAAGAAAUAUUAGCCAACCCAAGAUUUUUUAAACCAUUAUUCAAGUUUAUAUGUUCGACAAUAGAGAAGAUAUGAUAAGAAAAAAAAAAAAAAAUCUGAAGUGUAGAAGUUUUUGUUUAUAAUUAUAUACAUAAUAAAACAGUAAAAAUUUGUACAGUUUAGAGCGAAGGACUCGAAUCCAGCUCUCAAUAAAUUAAAAAAAAAAAAAAAAAAAAAAAAAUAUGAAAAAUUUUUUUUUAUAA